UUUUGGUUGAACACUUUUCGAUGUCCGUCUGAAAUUCCCACUUUACUUCACGUGGGCCAAAAUCGGUGGCGAAUGCACCGACGACGACGUGAAAUUGCAACGGCAACGUAUGAUAGGAACCUUUUGUCUCGUUGCUCUGAUAUGCGGAGGGAACUGUCAAAGUGUUGCUCAUUCACAGCUGCAGCGGAUUCGCGUCAAAGUUUUAAAGUAGUUCCGAGGACGUUUCUUGCAUUUUUUUUCAAUUUCAAUUCAAGUUUUAAUUUAAAGCCGUUCUUUUUCUUCCGUAAAACCACGAACAAUGUAUCCCAAACUGGUCCGAACGGGAGCGUAUCGAAACACUCUUCUUUCUGGUCCGCCCCUCAAACACCAGGCGCCGAGAAGGUCCUUGUGCGAAACAACGAAAGGCGCCGGAGAGACUGUGGUGUCGGAGCGCAGGGGGGCCGUGUUCACCGUGGCCAUAAACCGUCCCGAGGUGCGGAAUGCGGUGAACCGGGAGACGGCGAGGCGUCUGCUGGGGGAGCUGGAGGCCUUCGAGCGGGAGCCGGCGUCCAAAGUGGCCGUCCUGCAUGGCAUAGGAGGCCAUUUCUGCGCCGGGUAUGACCUGAAAGAAUUGGCCAAUGGCGCAGCCGCUCUCAAAUUGGAACAAGAUGUGACCAAGGGGUCCGGGCCCAUGGGUCCCUCCCGCUUGCAGUUGUCCAAGCCCCUGAUCGCGGCGAUCGGCGGAUUUGCCGUGGCCGGAGGAUUGGAACUGGCUCUGCUGGCCGACCUCCGAGUGGUGGAGGAGAGCGCCGUCAUGGGGGUGUUCUGUCGCAGGUUCGGGGUUCCGCUGAUUGACGGCGGCACGGUGAGACUCCCGCGGCUCAUCGGUCUAUCCAGAGCUCUGGACCUGAUUUUGACCGGGCGCCCCAUCAGAGCGCAGGAAGCGCUCGCGUAUGGAUUGGCCAACAGAGUUGUCCCCGAUGGACAAGGGUUACAGGCGGCCGUGCAGUUAGCCGAGGAGAUCGCCUCCUUCCCGCAAGAGUGCCUGAGGGCCGAUCGCUCGUCGGCCAUCUACGGCUGCUUCGACGCACCUUCGUUGGCGCAGGCCAUGCAGUACGAGAUUGACCGUGGGGCACCAGUCAUCUUGUCGGAAGCUGUGGCCGGGGCCACUCAAUUUACCGGCGGAACUGGACGAGGAGGGAAGUUUUCGUAAGGGACUCGGAUGCAGUAUGUUGCGUAAAUAUGCAGCACUAUUCAUCGGACGUCUCAGUCGCGCGUUUCCUUCCUUGACUCUUCUGACGCAGCCUCAUAAAAAAAAAUGUUCAUCAAACUCAACCCCCUCAAACCACCUUAAAAUAAAUUCAGGCGCUCACACGUCUGGCUUUUAAUACAUUUUAGAAUGUUGUGUCUGAAAGUCACCCGUGUGGGGGUGGGGGUGUGGGGGGGUAGCUUUGAUGCGAGUGGUCACUCCUCAUACACAGAUAAGAUAGACUCCGAGCAGCAGUGGCAAGAGACGCAGAGAUGCCGACACCUUUGGCAGCUUAUCGGCGGGACCAUCGACAUCUGAUGUGGCACCGUGAAGACAUAACACAGGUUUGGGCAAAAGGAAUGAACGGAGUGAGGGGAGCGUGGGGGGGGGGGGGGUAUUGGAAGCUUUUUUUCUCCCCAAAGCAGCUUUGGGUAAGACUUUGAACAGCGAUAUUUUGCGCAUGCGUGUGUAUUUGGAACGACCGGAUUUCUGGGGUAGGCGGCGCAUUAGAAUCUAUAAUACUAAAACCGGAAUCGGACUCUACCGCAAUGACAACAAUAUACAUGUUGGUAGAGCACAGUGGUGC